rnacentral:tRNA from 1 species
GCCUGAGUGGCUCAGUUGGUUGGGCAUCCGACUUUGACUCAGGUCAUGAUCUCACAGUUUGUAAGUUCGAGCCCUGCAUCAGGCU